rnacentral:rRNA from 1 species
UACGGGGGGGCAAGCGUUGUUCGGAAUUACUGGCGUAAAGGGCUUGUAGGUGGCCAACUAAGUCAGACGUGAAAUCCCUCGGCUUAACCGGGGAACUGCGUCUGAUACUGGAUGGCUUGAGUGUGGGAGAGGGAUGCGGAAUUUCAGGUGUAGCGGUGAAAUGCGUAGAUAUCUGGAGGAACACCGGUGGCGAAGGCGGCAUCCUGGACCAUAACUGACACUGAUAAGCGAAAGCCAGGGGAGCAAACCGGG